ACGCCGGUAGCCCAGGCAUCGCUGACAGCCGCUGACUCUUAAUCAGCGGGUCCGGGGUUCGAGCCCCUGACGGCGCACCA
rnacentral:tRNA from 1 species